rnacentral:rRNA from 1 species
CGCGUAGGUGGUUUGUUAAGUUGGAUGUGAAAGCCCCGGGCUCAACCUGGGAACUGCAUCCAAAACCUGGCAAGCUAGAGUACGGUAGGGGGUGGUGGAAUUUCCUGUGUAGCGGUGAAAUGCGUAGAUAUAGGAAGGAACACCAGUGGCGAAGGCGACCACCUGGACUGAUACUGACACUGAGGUGCGAAAGCGUGGGGAGCAAACA